GAGACACGCGCCAUUUUAUUUUCACUCAUAUUCAAAGUGGUGAGGAGAGAUGACUAUGGCGUGAUCAUCGUCGUAAAUCUCAAGAAAUCGAAAGUUUUUACCGAUAUACGAGUGAGCAACUUCAAUCGCCUGUAACGCGAAAACGCAGUGACGACCUUAAUUGACUGGACCAAAUCAACUUAUACUGACGUAAUCUGCAAUCUACCUCGAUGUGAAACUUGUGCAAAUCAUAUACCAAAUGCUUACAGCACCAAUGGAGAAGUUGUAUUAAGUUUUAGAAUCUAGCUGCUAAGGACAUCGAUUUAUAUUUGGCAGACUGUAGUCUCUAAUGUAUCUGUGAUAAGUACUCCGUGGCAUAUGUAACUGUUCCAAAUACUGAUGUUGGGAAAACUAUAGGACAUGGGCUUGUGAAAAAUAAAUUAGC